rnacentral:lncRNA from 1 species
AGAGAGGAUGCACACUCUGAAGAGGGCAGGCAGCUUCUGCACCGAGGGAGCAAAGGGGCGUGUCAGGGGCAGCUGCUGGAAGGAGGCGCAAGCACCACGGAGAGUCUGGGAUGCCCAGCCAAGGAGCCCUGGAAGGGUUGCCCUGGGGACUGACACUGUGGGCUCUGUGUUUUAGCCAAGUCACCCAGGCAGCUGAACAGAAGAUGGACUGGAGGGAGAAGCCUGGAUGAUCGCUCAGCAACAAAGGAGCCAGAAAAGGCAAGGUGUACACACCGUGUGCAGCAUGGGCGAGCUGCAGGCAUGCAGAACUUCUGAGUCCUAACCAUGGCUGGUGGCUCUUCCAGGAACAUGGUUUCCUGGACCCAAAAGGUCACUAUCCUUAAUCCCUCUCCCUGUGGGGUCUUCCCUAUCUUGAGCCUGUGGACAGCUGUGCAGUGGCAAGAAAAAGGCCUUCAGAGCUACGCAGACCUGGCUUCAAAUCCCAGCCUCCCUGAUGAGCCCUGGUGGUCUUGGAGCUGUAACGCUCACUGCGAAGAUCUGCAGCUUCACUCCUGAGCCCAGCGAGACCGUGAACCCACCGGGAGGAACGAACAACUCCAGACCCGCUGCCUUAAGAGCUGUAACACUCACUGCGAAGGUCUGCAGCUUCACUCCUGAGCCAGCGAGACCACGAACCCACCCGAAGGAAGAAACUCCGAACACAUCUGAACAUCAGAAGGGAUAGACUCCAGAUGCGCCACCUUAAGAGCUGUAACACUCACCGCGAGGGUCCGCAGCUUCAUUCUUGAAGUCAAUGAGACCAAGAACCCACCAAUUCCGGACACAAAAUGACACAGUCCCUGCCCACAUGGAGCUGACAUUCUCAUGGAGAGAAAGGGACAAAUAAACAAAUGUACAAUACUCCAAGUAGUCAUAGUGCUGUGAAGAAAAUAAAGUGAUACAAGGGAACUAUGAGAACCUUGGGAAUGGGGGCGCUGUUUUAAACAGGCCCAUUUGGAAGUUUCUCUUUCCUUUGAGCCAAGUCCUGAAGGAAAUGAGAGAGGGAUAUGGGGGGAAGAAUGUUCCAGGCAGAGAGAUCAGCCAGUGCAAAGGCCCUGAGGCAGGAGUGUGCCCCAAGGGGUGUAGGAACAGUGUGGAGCUGGUAGGGCUGUGGCAGAGUGAGGGUGAGAGAGAAAGGAAGGGGGUGAUGGGCCUGGGGGGCAGACCAUGCUGAGCAGCGGCUUUUAAUUUUUAUUGAUUACAUCUUCCAUAAGAAAUCAGUUUUAUAUGGCAAUCCAAGACAGAUAUCCACAUAUAAACAUACAACUGAGAUAAACUAUAUGUGUGCACUCUGAUAUAUUUUAUUUUAUUUUAUUCUGUUUCAUUAAAAAAUAACAUGAGUAAUGAUCUUCAAA